AUUCUCAAAAAAUGUACAUUAGUCGCGUAUUGCGAUGCGUAUUGUUCCUGGUCUAUGGGGAGGUCCCUACGUUUUCGCGAGACGACUCACCGCCAUCUGAUUGCAUAUUCAAAUUCUCCGUGUUAUAACGAAAAUUUGCAUACUACUUAGAAAGUGGCGACGGACUCGUAAGUAUUUUUUAUUAUAUUUUUUUAAUUGAUAUUUGGUAUUUUGAUAGUGGAUGGUUUUUCUGAAAUCGUGCGCCAUCUGUUGGUUUAUGACUGUUUUGUAAUUUUUUUUGAUUUUAGACUAGUUUGGGAACCUUGUAUACGAUUAUCAAAUAUUGCUAGCGGAACAUACAUUGUUAAAUUAAUUGUUUUUUUCUGAUAUUUACUUUACACCAUUGCCCAUUGGGCAUUGAUAAAAAAUAAACACGAACGUCAUGAACUAUGAACAUCGAAAGUUUAAUAUCAAAUAUCAAUGCUAAUCAAAACAAGUCACGUUCGUCGCCCGUAGGUCGACAGUCGACACUUCGACAGCACUCGGCAUUGCACUCAUGAUUCAUAGACGAUAGACCGUGCUCUUAAAAGAUAAGAACGAUAUCUUCUAAAACAGGCAGUGGUCAACAGAUUGUAUUAUCAGUGUUGAAAGGGGUAGUUCAGCAGUUGUUCGAAAAACGAUAGGUUAGGUUCGAACAACUACCCCGCAUCCGUUAUAAAGAACACUCAUUAUUUCGAAAAUUAAAAAAAGUAUUUCCAAGUACCAACAGAUUUUAUUGAAUAAUGUAAGACACUUAAAAAAAAUAAACGCAAACAACAAAUUAUCUUGAACUAAUUGCGUAUGGUAGAGUUUUGUUUUGAUGUAUAUUAUUUAUCCAAAACAAGAGGGCAGUAUUCUAAAUGAGAACAAACAAGGGAGUAAUAUACAAUUUUCAAGGGCAUAAGCAGGGCCGGAUUUAGGGGAGGGCUGAGUGGGCUGCAGCCCAGGGGCCCCCACAAAUUCGGGGCCCCCACAAUUUUAUGAUAUUUAAAUUAGAAUACAGAAAAAAUAUUUUAUUUAUAUUUACACAUAUUUAAUUAAAUAAUAUUGAACUUUUUUUGGACA